rnacentral:rRNA from 1 species
CUGAAAGCAUCUAAGCGCGAAGCUGGCUCCAAGAUUAGAUUUCCAUUGAGGGUCGUCGUAGACUACGACGUUGAUAGGCUGCAGGUGUACAAUGGUGACAUAAAGCCGAGCAGUACUAAUUGCCCGAAAUCUUUUUCUAA